UAAGAGCCGCGCGAACGCAGCCCCACACACAAAAAUUUAGCUGUUGGCGAAUCUCAGUUCGAGACUGCCACACGGGUCAGCCCGGGCGAAAGUGCAAUGCGCGGGCCUCACCAUGGGGGUUCCGCCUUGUUGAUCGCGAGACGCCCCCAGCCAGGUAAGUUU
rnacentral:snRNA from 1 species